UUUAGAUUUCAACUUUACAAUCUGGUCCAUCUCAUACAUCAAUAAUGGGACCACCGCGGCUGUCGUCACUGACGUAUAACGUGACGGAACCCCGACGACCANNNNNNNACGACAUAGAUCUGAUAUGGAUGAGUGGCAUGGAAAUUUCACGCAAUGUGAUCUCUAUAUCAUGCCUAUUUCCAACUGGUCCAACUGAAAACUUUAGUGAGAUCAAACUGAAGUUUGCAAAUUCAAUAUUUGCACCAAAGAUACAGAACCGGUUAUAACAAUAAUAACCUCAA
rnacentral:lncRNA from 1 species